UCAGGCGUAGCUCAGUUGGUAGAGCAACCGGCUGUUAACCGGUUGGCCGGGGGUUCGAGUCCCUCCGCCUGAGCCA
rnacentral:tRNA from 1 species